rnacentral:piRNA from 1 species
UGUGAUUCUGGCCUUUGGACAGUUGUGGU